rnacentral:lncRNA from 10 species
UUUAAAGACAAGGGGCCACGCAAUGAGAAAAAGAUACAAAAAUGCGUAGGCUGGCAGAAGCAGAUCACAGCCACGGAGAGCCAGACAAGCAGGGACGAGGCCAUGAGGGCCGGUGAACUCGCCAGCCCGGGGCACGUUCAAGAGCGUAUUUUACUACUCCAUCACCGGGUGGACGUAUCACUGUGGUCAAUGUGUGGUUCAUGGACUUCCUUCUACAGUAUUUGGUUCUGCCAAGGAGGACCUGAAGGCUGAGCAUCAGAGGCUCCAGGAUCCUUUGGCCACUUCUUAAGAGAGAGACAGGAGACAGAAAGACAAACUUAGAGAUAGAGAUAGCUAGGCAGGAGAGGGAGAGAGAGAGAGAGAGAGAGAGAGAGAGAGAGAGAGAGAGAGAAUAAAUCCUUACUGUGUACCAAAACUGAAAACUGGCAGGCUGUUUGGGAAAGAGAGAAGGAUCUGCAGAAGUCGGGAAACUCUUAAAGGGCUGUCACUUUCCAUGAAGUUCCAAGGCUCUUGGGAAGAGGGUUCAAACCUCCCCCUGUUGUCAUCUGUUUCUUCCUCUGCCGGGCAUCUGUAGACAGACCUCCUUUGGGAGCACAGAGGCAGGUCACCACCCACAUAUAAAUCCAGAGCACGAUUUAGUAUGUCUUCAGGGAAACAGAAUUCUGGGCCGUCGGGAGAGAUACGAUUGCAACAGGUCUGGCAUGUUUCAUAGAAGGGCUUUCCACUGCUCAUCCAUCAUGCUGCCCUGCACAAGUCACAGAGACAUUCAAUCCCCUGCCCCCCUUCCUCCUGCCACAAAAUCCCUUCUAGAAGCCCUGGUGUAACCCAUCAGGGUAGAUGCUUCGAUCUUUCCUGGCAUCUUUCCAUCCUAAGCCAGAGAGAGACAGUCACUUGAUCAGCAUUUGCUGAGUCCAGGGAUCGUCUGGGACUAAAACUUGGCCGUGCCAUUUAAUGUCCACUAGUCCAACUUUAGGUUAAGGCUGAAGAGGGGAAUGGUGUCCACUGGGGGGACUGAAGGGCAGAAGGAAGGCAGGCAGACUUGAUAGGAAGAGUGGAAGAAGACUUUAGGGAAACCUGGGGGUUGUCAUUUUAAGAGUCAGUAGCCAACUUAUUGGUCAAACCGUAGGUAUAUAUUUAUUGAGUGAUUUAUCAAGUGCCUAUUAUAUAUCAGGCAUUGUUCUAAGAGCAAGAGAUAUCACUAAAGAUACAAAAUCAGGCCAGGUGCAGUGGCUCAUGUCUGUAAUCCCAGCACUUUGGGAGGCCAAGGCAAGAGGAUUGCUUGAGUCCAGGAGUUCAAGAACAGGCUGGGCAACAUAAUGAGACCCCCAUCUCUCCAAAAAAAAAAAAAAAACAAAAUUAGCCUGAUGUGGUGGUGAGCAUCUGUUGUCCCAGCUACUCAGGGGGUUGAGGUGGGAGGAUUGCUUGAGACCAGAAGGUUGAGGCUGCAGUGAGCUGUGAUCACGCUACUGUACUCCAGCCUGGGCAACAGAGUAAGACCCCAUCUCAAAAAAGAAAGAAAGAAAGAAAGAAAGAAAGAAAGAAAGAGCGAGCAAGCACAGGGGCUAUGGGAAAACACAACAAGAGGAGGCUGAAUAGAAGUAUGAUUUAACAGUGAAGAGCUUGGGCCUUUGAGGCCAAUAGACCUGUAUUUGGUCCUGGUAUUGCUACUUACAGGCCAUGUGACUUGGGCAAGCUACCUUCUUUUCUGAGACUUGAGUUCAUCAUCUGUAAAAUAAGGACAACAGUUAUACCAACCUUAUACAAUUGUUGUGAAUAUUAAAUUAGGUCCUACACAUGACAACAUUUCAUUGAUAUACCCAGUACAUGGUAAACACCAUAUUUAUUAUUAAUUAUUAUAAUUAUUUAUUUAUUUAUUUAUUGGGAAACUCUGUUUCACUCUUAUUG